rnacentral:pre_miRNA from 1 species
AUAUAGGGCAAUCUGUCGUUAGGUAGGGAUAAAACUGAAUCCUAGAUAGCUUUCCUUUCAAGUAAAAUGUCUUGU